rnacentral:rRNA from 1 species
AACGCGAAGAACCUUACCAAGUCUUGACAUCCCCCUGACCGGAACUUAACCGUUCCUUUCCUUCGGGACAGGGGAGACAGGUGGUGCAUGGUUGUCGUCAGCUCGUGUCGUGAGAUGUUGGGUUAAGUCCCGCAACGAGCGCAACCCUUAUCCUUAGUAGCCAGCAAGUAGAGUUGGGCACUCUAGGGAGACUGCCAGGGAUAACCUGGAGGAAGGUGGGGAUGACGUCAAAUCAUCAUGCCCCUUAUGAUUUGGGCUACACACGUGCUACAAUGGCGUAAACAAAGAGAAGCAAGACCGCGAGGUGGAGCAAAUCUCAAAAAUAACGUCUCAGUUCGGAUUGCAGGCUGCAACUCGCCUGCAUGAAGCUGGAAUCGCUAGUAAUCGCGAAUCAGAAUGUCGCGGUGAAUACGUUCCCGGGUCUUGUACACACCG